rnacentral:rRNA from 1 species
UGGGACCCUAGUGGCGGACGGGUGAGUAACGCGUGGGUAACCUGCCCCAUACCGGGGGAUAACACUUAGAAAUAGGUGCUAAUACCGCAUAAGCGCACGGUACUGCAUGGUACAGUGUGAAAAACUCCGGUGGUAUGGGAUGGACCCGCGUCUGAUUAGCUUGUUGGCAGGGUAACGGCCCACCAAGGCGACGAUCAGUAGCCGGCCUGAGAGGGUGGACGGCCACAUUGGGACUGAGACACGGCCCAAACUCCUACGGAAGGCAGCAG